UCAAGGAAUUGAAUCGGGCAAUGUCAGAAAAUGAAAACUUAUGUAGCCAUUCUCUUUGGAGCAUGAUCAUUUAAAUAGCAUGUAAAUCUAUUUUUUCCCUGCUGUUUGUAGUAUCAGUAACAUCCUCAGAAGGUGGUACUGAGAGUAGAUCUGAAAUUAGGAAUGUAUAUUGCAUAGGGAAUAUCAUUAACUAUUUGCUAUUUAUCCCAAUCUCGUGGAAAAAAACCUGAACACAGUUAAUACUGACAAACUUGUAGGUAAGAGUUCAAAUCAAAUCCUGAGAGCAACUACUGGACUUUGAAUGAUUUGGAGCAGAGCUUGGAGCAGUAUUUCAUACUCACUUCUUAUAGCCAUAGUGGAUCAAAUCAGAAGUCUGUUUCAUAUUUUCUUUGAAUUAUGUGAGUUCGAAAUCCUGAUCAUAACGUUGCUACUCAGUGGAUAUGUAUUCAUUGGCAUUAGCAUUUCUGAAUGGAUUAACUCAGCCAUUGUGAAAAACAGAUUCUGCAGUUUACUUAAAGAUAAGCAUGAGCAGCGUCAGGUCAAACAUUUUGGAAAUUUCCCAACAGAAAAGGCUCGCUCAUGGAAACUAAAUGUUCUGUAGAAAAGCUGUGAAUUUGAUGAAACUAUUGAAAAGAAGCCAGCAGGCAUUUGACCAAAAUCUUGCUAUUUUUCUGUCAGUUCACCUAUCUUUCUUUCCCCUCCUAGGCAAUAUCAGCCUCCAUGGGCUUGCAGAAGGACUGGGAAAAAGAAAACAACAACAAGCUCCAGACUCCAAGAUACUCAAGCAGCCUGUGGAAAAUGAAAACCAGAGCAAUACUUGUUUCCUAGGAAAAAAUGAACAAAUUAAAAUGAGUGGGGAGGACAGACCCACCUCAGUUUUAGAGUGGAAAGAAAUCCUCAGGAAGCUCUGCUGUGCUCCAUCCCUGACAAAGGCUCUUUAUACUCAACAAGCCUCAGCUACUGGGCAGGAGAUGUUUAUUGUAAUGAAAGACUCUUCAGAAAGUUUGGAACACAAAGAUUUUAUCUUUGUCAGGGGAACACCUAGUGGUUAGUUAACCUUUGAAUAGGACUUCUAAGACAAUGACAACUGCAGGAUUUGGUGCUGUAUGUGGUCUGGAUUUUAUUACAUGAAACACAAGGCAACAUACAAAAUAAACCUCUAAAGUUCUGACAUGGAGAGAUUUUGCUUGUCCUUUCCAAAAGAAAGUUGCCUGAAUUUCCUUCACCCUCAUGGCCAGCCACACAUACCUUCUCCUAGCUGAGCUUGGAUACCCUUUGCAGCUGCUCCCAUACUGUCUCAGUUCUUCCAUGCUCACUGUCUGAGAAAGGCAAAAAAGGAGUUUUCAGAAAAAAAAAAAGGUUUACUCCACAGGUGCAGAGAACCAUGAACUGGCUUAACCCUGGCAGCAGUGCAGAGAUAGCCCUGGUGACCCACAUGCAUUAGCACCAGCACCAGGAGCAGGAGUGCUGCUUCACCACGGUGCUGAACUGACCUCCAAUAUCCCUGCCUUUCUGCACUGUGCAUGACUUCACAGUGAGCUGGUUAAUGUUAGGAUGGGAAUCUUUGCAACACAGUUGGCAUAGAUCAGACAGUAAGCGCUGAGGUAGCUUUGGCCCCUCUGAAAGUCUUUAAGUGACCGGAGUGCUUGUGUCUUCUGUGCCCUCAGCAGAGAAGCCAUUGCCUCCAGCUGCAUUUUCACUGUGUGGGAAUUGUUUGAACUCACCACUGUUGCCACAGCUGCUAAAGGAAAACAUGUAGUUAAAGAUGAGGCUGUGCAUACAUUAUAGAUAUAGGCAUAUGGCUGUCAAGCUGCUGCCCAACAACUUCCAUAGUUAUAUGGCACCUUAUGUUAUCCAAAGCACUUGAAAUUUUUUAGAUAACAAAAGCAAACCAAGACAGCUAUUAUGGCUUUGUGCUGCACUUGCUUCCUGAUAGAGUUGCCAAUCCAGUACUUUGAAUUCUGUGCCAGCAGCUUUGACACAAGUGAAAGAGCAAGCUGUGCUUUUAACAGAUGCAAAUGCUUUAGUUGCAGUGAUCAUUGCUUUCUCAAAAUCAUUAUCACAUAUGUGGGAUUUCAUAUUCAUACUUUUUCAAAGCAGCAACGUUCAGAUGAUUAGAGCAACAUUUUCUUAGCACCAGUAGAUUUUUAAGGAGCAUAAGCAACUGACAUUAUCUUGACUCAAGCAAGCAUUUUACUAUCCCACCAGUGCUUCUGCUGAACAGACACACAACACAUGGUUGGCACUGUUGGAAAUCUUGCAUAGUGCCACCACUGUGCCAUACCAGCAAUGAGCCAUACUGAUGGAUUUCUAGGAAUCUGCAGUCUUCUCUGAUUACAGGGGAAUAAGGACAAACAAAACAGUGUUAAGCCAGCAUUAAGUUACUGGCUUAGAUAUUCUCGAUUUGAGAAUAGCUCAUCACCUUUCUCUAUUUUUCCGUAUCUCUUUGUGUCAAGGGUACAGCUUCUGAAAAAGCGUGAAGUUUCUUGCUUUGUUUGAACAAGGUUACCACAAAAGUACAAGAAUUUGAUACCAUCAACGUAGUUCUUUUAAUGGCAAUUUCAGCAGCAGCAAACACAUGGAAAAGUCAUUAUGUCUGUGAAAGCAACAAAUACAAUCCAGAGAUACUGUUGUGCAUAAGACUCCCUUCCACCAGAAGACCAAGUCUGUUUUUUUUUCUGCCAUUAAACACAUACAAUGUUAAUUCUAAGCCCCUGUUUUGUACAGGCAGGAUCUGGCAAAUUUUGGCACCAUAUACUAUUCAUCAAAGAAAGAAACAGUCCAGACCUUGUAAAGCCUUGACUCUGAAAGUGUGUGUGCUCAGAUUUAAGUAGUAUAUGAUGUGAAGCCCAGUGCAAGAGAAGGUUACUCUGAAGAACCAUAGAGGUUUUGCUCUGAGUGUUCCAUGGAAUGGGAGCAGAUCUCAGUGUAAUUUCUUGAUCAUGCACAUCCAUGAUUAAAACAAAGCACAGAUGCUUAAAACAAAAGACUGGGAAUGAGAAAAAAAUCAUUUUUCUAUCCUAAUUUUGAAGCUUUUCUUAAAAUGAAGAAAAAAAAAAACCUCAACAGAUCUGCAUAUGUUAUAUAUAAAAACAACAACGAAAAACCCAAACAAGUUGCCUUAAUUUUUAACUCUUCUUCAGUAUUGCUCCUUCCCACAAACUUUGCCAUCCGCACUGCAGUAAUUGCAAUGUGACAGUCAGCAAAGAUUCUCCAAAACAUCCUUUUUGGUAGGAAAAGAAAAAGAGAGUUCAGGAAAAUUGUGCUCUACUGUUGAAGAAAAUUCAUAUCAUAGAAUACAAAGACUGUCUUGGGCAGAGGCUUUGGUCACUGUCUGAUGCAGGUAGCUGGCCGAGUGGCUGUGCUCUCAGCAGCUUGCUCCCCUUCUCUUUUCCUCUUUUUUCCUCCCUCUUCAUUUCCAUAUCUCCACAAAUGUUAUUUUUUCACAUUCACAUCACCAUCUCCAAAUGCAUUUGCACAGAGACACAUAAGGAUAUAAAAUAGUGUCCCCAUAAUUUAUUUCUAUCUGAUCAGGGCACUGUCAAUUCCUUGGAGAUUGUUCUGGCACAAGUCUCAAGCAAAACAAAGAAGCAGUUCCCUCUUCUUACAUUUUUCUUUUGUUAAAAAUGUUAUAAAAUGUAGACUGCACAUACCAGGUGCAAAAUACCUUUGAAAGAAGUGGAGGGUUUGUCCCUAGAAAAAAGACAUUUUUGGAGGGCAUAAAUUGUCCCUGAACCAAAUGUUUUUAUGCCAUCCACAGUAGCUGGACUUGAUGACCUUAGUAGGUCCCUUCCAUCCGGACUAUUCUAUUUUAGAAAGCAGAUGUUGGUCUUUAUAGGGUUUCCUUGUCCAGCUUAAUCACCAGACAAAUUAAUGGCUUUUCUAUCAUUUUCUUAUUGCAGAGCCCAGUGAAUAAUCUGGUAUGAAAACUGAUAGCAGUAGCACAUGGUGUCUGCUAGUACAUAUGAACUGUGUCAUUGUGGACCAUAGCUUCAUCUCUCCCUAGCUGCACCUUGUGUCACCUCAAUAUCAUGCAGGGCCUCUCAGAGGAGAUGACAGCAUGCCAGAUGAAAGUGUUGGGCAGGAUGCUGGCUCAGGAGCCCCCACACUUAUUCUUCAGCCUGCAGAGUUCACCUAUGGGUGCACAGUAGCCAGAACAGGCUCACAUUUUAAGCCAUACAGAGCCUGAAACAAGCUUGUAAUCGGGGCAUUCACAUUUAACUUAAGGUGAACUCAUCCUAUCACAUCUCUGCUGAUCCAAAAAUAAAGACUUUAACUUACAGGCACUAUUUUCAAUUAAUGUAGUUUUUCCUUGAUAAAUGCAGUGAGAUGCAGGAAGGAUCUGUUUGCAGUUUUAAUUACACUCAGUGUACACACAUAUAUCUACCUCUGGUGAUUCCAGAAGCACUCAUUAUUUGUUCAUUAUUCUAAUGACACAACCACACAUAGGUUACUUUAAAAUAAGGUAAGAUUUUGAGUGUCCAAGACACUUGGACACCUUAGAUACUCAGAAUGUCUCUUAUCCCCUACUAGGUGCUUUUCACCUGGGGCUCCCGCAGAUCGUGUACACAAAGCUACUCCCAGAAUAUCCAUCUAUAAGCCAAGAAAACAAACCAACUUCUGAUCCUCUAAAACAUUCAAUAUGUAUUGCAACACUGAGGUAUCUGGCUGACAAAAACCAUUAGGUAAGGCUUUCAAGCUCCAGAGGAUAAAGUCUGCUACUAGAUUAUUUCUAUCAUGAUUAGACCAACAUCUGGCUUUCAGCUUCUCUCAUGACAGCACUGUGGUUGGGGCGCUACUUUAACUUGCAUUUUCAUAAGCUACACUGUUCAGUGAUUUAUAUCAAUCUGCUUUUAUUCACAUUGUGCCAAAAUUAACCAACUGUAAUUGCCACCCAGGGCAGGCCGUCUUCUGAAAAGGAAAUAAAUGAAAUUAGUUAUCAGGGCAGGAAGCAGCUGCCUGGCUAUGAAGUGGAAGAGCAAUCUGUGCACUAGUUUAGACUCACCCCUGUCAUGCAAGUGAAGGAGCAUGGCAGUAAUGGGGAGAAAACAAAACGGAAGAGUCCAGGAUGUCAUCUUUCUCCACUCCUCCUCUCAAUUUUUAUUCUGUGCAUUUUCAGUGGCAAAGAAAUGAAAACAUCUUUAUUUUUGUUUAACUUCUCAGAAACUCUAUUUACAAUUCAAAAAUGUAACUUCAAAUCUGAAACAAAGUACUUCCUCUCUCUUUCUCCCAUGAUUUCAGUUUGUCAGCAAAAAUACACCCAUAAACCCAUCAUGUUCACAUAUGUGCAUACAGCAUCCAAACCACACUGUGCUCUGCAAUGUGGUGAGAGCUUUUGCAUAGCUGAAGAGGGAAAAGAAAUGGGAUCUGAAAGGUGGGAAACCUUCCGAGCAUGUCAUUUCCCUUUCUGUACUUCAGAUCUCAAACUGACUGAAGCCAGAGAGCAAGUUUCUAGCAGCUUCAGUAAGCUUUGGAACAGGCUCUACUGAUGGAGCUAGAAGCAGAUAUUAAGUUACAUCAGCUUCAUAAUAGCUGCCAAAUUUUUUUUAACUAGGAAAUAUUAGCAAACGUGAUAACACAGUGAAAUGUGGUGACAAUAGGAAUACUGUUCAUAUCUUGUUCAUUCAAGUUAUGAAACAAAGUAGAAAAUGCUAUUAAAACCAUGUGGUGAUCUUUAAAGUAUCUGGCUUUUCUUAAAGCUACUCUCAUUUUGCAAGAUCAAAGGUAAAGUGAAAUCUUUACAAAUCAUUUUGUUGAUUAGACAAUGGUGAUACAGAUUUUGCAGUAUGCAUGAAGGGGUGAAGGAGCCUGAUUUUCAUUCUGGUGCUGCAGAAAUGGAGGAGAAGGGGAUAGGGGUGCGGAAAAGGAAAGAAGGAGAGCCUUUGUUCCCACCUUAGUUCUUUCCACUGCACAGAUCUGUCACAGAAGUGGACUCUUGGAGAUCUUCCCUGGUGGGGAAGAAGGAGGUUAUCACACAGCUAACUGACUUCAGAGCUGAAAAGAAAACCACCACACAAGACCAGCCCUGAAAUACAACCAGCGUAGCCAGUAAUCAGUAACAGCUUUCUCCUUCAGCUGAAGAUACAAGAAACCCACAGCAUGUUUUCAGUAACAGUUUUGAUGCAUGCCUUGCUAUCAAGCUGCUCAAAGAGAAACCGAGGGCCCAAAACUGCAUGGCUAUAACCCAUGCCUUACAGAGCUAGAUCCUAUAAUCCCACUGAUGUAUCUUCCUUUUUUUGUAUGGUCAAAGGUUUGCCAGAUAAAGUCUGAUUUAUUGUUUAUGCUUCUAUAAUUACCUCAUGGAAGUUAAGCCCUUAGAUCUACCACACACCUCCUCUUGUAACACCACACCUAUUCUUUCCUCUUUCUCUCUUUCUGUCGGCUCACAUCUUUACUUCUCAUGUCUACAUUCUUUGAUGUUCAAACCACUGUCACAAUUAAUGUGUGCCUGACAAGGGCAGGAAGGCAGGGAAACGAUUCCCACUCACUGUUCUCUCCUCAUUUGCUCCUUUUCUUCUCUGCAUUCAGAAAGCGAGUGAGUGACAGCUAGCCCAGAGUGCUGCUUGUACACAUCUAUUGAGGAAUGGGAACGCUUAGCAGAGUAGUAGAGCAGAUGGAAUGAAGAGCCCCAGACAAACUCACUAUAGCCCGAUAGGGCACCUUCUACCUUCAGGUCAGCCAACAAAAGACACCAGUGAAAAAGGUGUGCCUACAAUCCUCCCUGAGGCUCUUCAAAACACAAGAAUAACAAAAGAGCGGAGGUUGAUACUAAUAUCAUCAUACUAAUGUCUGCUAUCUCGGAAGUAUUCUUUAUGGUCAUUAUUUAAGGGAGCCUUAGAUGUUAUUUUCCAAGUCCAGCAAAUGUAGCUUUGAAGGAGCUUCCUCUUUUGGGUGGGAGGAUAGACUCAGUGAAGUGACAUUUGGCAGAUAAAUGAGAAAGCUGAAGCUCUGCCCAAGUAGAAGUGAAAACUAAUCUCAGAACAAAGAGCAAAUUUUAUUUAGUCCUAAACAAGCUAUGAACAAUCUGCAGAUAGUAUGACCUAAUACUUGCCAAAAAUGUGAUUACUAAUUUUGUAGGCAUGAUGCUGAACCUGGUUUAGAAAAGUAUUCUAUAAACAAAGACAUCAUAGCCAUACUUGGGAAAAAAGCUCUGUUACUGAAGCGCUCAGCACAGCCACGCACCAUCACUGAUGGGCAUACAGGGCAAAUUUUCAAGGACACAGCAUCAGCUCUUCUCUGCUUCCUGGGAACUAGAGGUGCCAUUCCUGCUGACUGACUUCUGAAGUUGAAACAGGCCAAUGUGAAUCAAUUUUUACAAGAUUACAUACACACAAAGAGAACUUCUGGCUUUACCCAGCAAGAACUUGAAGUGGGUCACAGUCUGUAACCCGAAAAUUGAGACAUUUUGGAAAACGUAGCAAGACUAUGCAAAAGCAUGUCAUAUAUAUGCUGUCAUAUAUAAAUUGUGUUGUAUAUUUUAGUCUGAAGCAUGAGCGGUGUCCAUAUGAGGGGUGUUCUCAUAAUUUGUCAGCAAAUUCCAGUUAUGGCGGUAUACACCCUCAGGCUGUGGCUGUAUGACUGAGUUGUUUCAGCAUGACAAGUUGCCAAAUCAUAAUAUCUGACUCUGUUUCAAGCCGCAGCAGAUAAGAAGUGGUUGCUCCUUAUUUAGUCCAUAGUAAAGGAAAGUAUACACAGAAUUUUCUGACUCAGAAAGCCCAAUGAGCAGUGAAUAUUUGGCAUAUACUUAACAAAUACAUUACGUAAUCUCAGUAAAAUGCCUCUUGAAAUUCAUUUUAAUUGCAAAUUCAUGGGUUGAAGUGCUUAUGCCACAUGAAAAGUGCUUUUUACCACAUGGCACUCAGGACUUUAUUCAUCCUGCAUUGCAUUUAGACACAACUGUAGGCAUAUAUCUGCAGGGGAAAGUGCCUCUGGAUUUAGUUAAUUUGCUACAAUAACACUGCAUUUCAGAGGUAAGUAAUUCAUAUAGUGAAGCCCUUAUUUCACAACACUUUGCUAAUACCUUUCAUUUAGAGUGUUUAAAAUAUCUGUACAAAGUCCUCAUCUUUAUUAUAGUCUGAGUGAUCAUCUGAGGAGCCUCCCUUUGCAUAAGAAAGUGCUGCUUAUUAGGGCAUGCUGAAAAUCUACUGUGGAUUUUGUCAGAGAGGUUUGAGAAUUGGUACAAAUUGGUAUAGAGCACCUGGAUGUAAAUCAACUGCAAGUCCUCCAAGUUCUGGCACAGAGCUUCAGUUGAAUGAAUUUUCUUAGCUGAGAAUUGCUCCCAGAUCAAAAAUGCAGCCUUUGGAGCAAGCACAGCAAAAAUGUUACUAGCAGAGAGAUAACAUCUAAAUCAAUGACGAGUGCCCAGCAUAUAUGACCACCUUAUAGUUAAAAUAAGAAAGAAGGAUUUUUAUUAGUUUUACAAUUGUGACUAAUAUUUUCAAGUAAUGCCAAAUGUUUUACAGAUGUUUAUAUGAACAAAUGCCGACUACAGCAUGCUGCAGCCCAGAACAGACCCAAACACUUUGGAGAAAUCCAGAUCAGAACUCCGCAGUCAGCCUUCCUGCAAACCUAAUCACAAACAGCAAAACACUAUGGAAAAUAUGAUGACACUGUAAACUGCAAAACAGCAUAGUUGAGUGAGGACACCUCUGUAAUGGACAGAUUCCCAAAGAAAUGUCAUCUGCACAUAUGCCCUACCAUCUUAGAGAAAUGUCCUCCCAGGCUUGAGAAACGUUUUGGUUUGGAAUCAACCCCCCGAUGUUAUGGCCAUCUUCAAAGUGGAGCAACAGAGUAAAAUGAGCAUUUUCUCAGAGGAACACAUAAGAUCAGGAAGUUUUUCUACAUAGAGAUAUUCCCAAACAACAUGAAAAUCUUCAAAGAGGAAACACUGUGUGAUAUGAACUCCAGAGAAAAAGGAGGCGACAUACACGUACAUACACACAAUAUGAAAGCUUUCAGGGAAAACAUGCUGUCCUUAGUAAUGUGAAGGGGUUUGUUUUGAAGAAGUCACCCCCUGCUGAGGCAGUAAGUAUACACGUAUGAUUACUGAGAUGUCUAAUUAAAUUCUCCUUAUCUGAAUGCCAUCUGAACUUAACAAAGCAGAUAAUAAGUUCCAGAAACAGAUACCAUGUGGGGGGCCAAAUAAUUUUGCUUCCAAAAAUUGGAGCUUGAAAUUAGAGAUGUGUAGGUAAUAGAGAACAUGAUUUUGCUCUACUCCCACUGUCUGCACCUGAACUGUUCUUUCCGUCAGAAAAAAUCGUGGAGCUAAAGUGAAGCUAAAUGCUUGCAGGAUCAACUCCAAUUCCAUGGAAAGACCGUAAGCUACCUUCUAACUCGACUUAAAUAAGUGGAUUUCCUCCAGAUUUAUACAAAGACAAGUGGGAGUAAUAUUACAUUCUUGCACUGAUUAAACAUCAACUGCAAAGAAUCAGAAUAUGACUGAAUUUUGAUUACUUUUCAGAAAUGUAUCUAGGUUGCAAAUUAACUGAAUCAUAUAUGAAGAUGGUCCUGAGAUGUUUCUGCAUGGAGUUAACUUGUCUAUGGAAAAGCUGUUCACAGGGGAACAACAUGGCACAGGUGCCCCAGAAAUACAACCUCCUCCGUAUAGUCUGAAGACUGAGUUGUUUAAUCCUGGAGCCUCAAAGGAACUCUGUGUAGAAGUCAUCAGGUCUUCCACACUCAGCACUGCUGAAUUUUGGAGGUCUGGAGAACGUUGUACUUCCUAUGUUUCCAAAUAAGUUAACUGAAUCAUCAGUUCAAGACACAUCACAGCAUAUGAGGUGUGAUCACCUAAACAAAUUCACAGGACCUUUUAGAAAGGAAAUUAUUUUAGAAAGGAAAAGUAGAAAUUAUCUUCUGCCUGAUUCAACAUGAAAUUCAGUUUUGGGAAUCUUUGAGUUGGUUUGGUAAAUGGAAUGUAAAAAUGGGGACCAGAUGUCAGCUUAUCUAUUAGCCUGAAAUGUUAGAACUGGAGAUGAGUUUUGGGAGGACAUUUCCUGGAGGCAAGAGCAGCCCAUGGUAGCAUCAGGGCUAUAAGGGCUGGUUGAGCCCAUGCAGAUAAGCAGUCCCUUGACCCAGACAUACACUUCCUAUUACUGCGACAACUUGUCCCAUGUAAUCUUAACAGUGCUGACUUCAUACCAGCAUAUAUAUUGGUAGCUGUAUAAUUAUGUGAAGAAUUCAACAGUCUUGCAAAAUCCAUGCAUGAACUUCCACCCUUGUUAAACCUACCUGCUCAAAGCUGGGUCAGGAAAACUUGUAAGUUCUGAAAUACUAUCAUCAACAGCUUCAGUAAGCCUUGGAGUAAAAAAUAGAGAUAAUAAUAUGUUACAUGUGUAUAAUAUACAUUUUAUACAUGUAUAUAAUAUACCUACUAUACAUUUUAUAUAUGGUAUCAUAGGACAUAUAUUGCAAUUAAUGCAUGUAAUGUUGUUGUAUUGAUAUUGUAUUGAUAUUAUAUUGUAUUGAUAUUAUAUAUAAAUAAUAAUAAUAAUAAUAUAUGAACUAUGAUAUAAAUAUGUUCUGAGCAAUUAAUUUUGUUACUGAACCAUUAGUUAACUCUAUUACUAUGUUGCAAUGAUGAAUGUAAAGGAAUGAUACUAUAAAACAAAAAUAAUAUCAUUAGUGUUGAAGCAUCGUGAACGUGUACUGUGCAGAUAGCAUAAAAUAAUAUACGACAGGAAAAUAUUUUUCUAUUAAAGUUAGUUUUGUCUAUGAAGGCUAGUUUAACAAAUCACUGAUUACCUUGUAAAUCUAAUGAUAUUGCAGAAGGUUAUGAAGAGUAGACUUAGCCAGAAGAAAUUUCUACGGUGAAGGUAAAAUCCCAAGAAAAAGUCUUGCUUCCUCUUGCUGCAUGCACAACCACAGUGAAAAGUCUCGAUCAAGAGUGGUUCAUCAUUCCUAAUGGAUUUCCUUUGUAUUACUGCCAAAGCUGGCUUCAAAGAUUUCACAGAAACUGUGGUCGGAAGGGACUUGAAGAUCAUUCAGUUGAACUUCCUGGUACAUCAGUAGCCACUAACUAAAUUCCUUAUAACCACCUAAAGAAUUUGGAUGUAGCAAGUACUAAAAGAAUCCAGAAGACUAGGAAUAUUCAAUAUUAGAACAAUUUAAAUAUUAGAAAAACUGCAGACAGAUGCUUUUAGGUCUGAGGAAUUUCAGAUGAGUUAUUAAUAAAAGAUUGGAAUGGCCUGCUGUGGUUCAGUAAAGAAUUAAGGACAAAAAUAAAGCUAACAUUAGUUAUUAUGGUUGCUAUAGUGUAUUUUGACUUCUCCAAGGUAUUUGAUCUAGGGCCAUUUGACAUCGGCAUUAAAAAGCGCAGAUUACAUACAUCAAAAACAGGAUUAUAUAUAUAUCUGAAGUGUGGCUGAUGAUAGGGAAAUAUUAAUAAAUAAAAAAAAUCAAGAGAG
ensembl:lncRNA